rnacentral:pre_miRNA from 1 species
ACAGCAUUCGGACCGUCGGUCUACCGAGCAAUAUCACCCGCGAGGUGGAAGACCAUCCCGCCGUUGU